CAGCCGCCGCGGUAAUACGGAGGGCGCGAGCGUUACCCGGAUUUACUGGGCGUAAAGGGCGUGUAGGCGGCCUGGGGCGUCCCAUGUGAAAGGCCACGGCUCAACCGUGGAGGAGCGUGGGAUACGCUCAGGCUAGAGGGUGGGAGAGGGUGGUGGAAUUCCCGGAGUAGCGGUGAAAUGCGCAGAUACCGGGAGGAACGCCGAUGGCGAAGGCAGCCACCUGGUCCACUUCUGACGCUGAGGCGCGAAAGCGUGGGGAGCAAACCGGAUUAGAUACCCCCGUAGUCCCUGUCUCUUAUAC
rnacentral:rRNA from 1 species